AUACGUAGGGGGCAAGCGUUAUCCGGAAUUACUGGGUGUAAAGGGAGCGUAGGCGGUAUGGUAAGCCAGAUGUGAAAGCCCGAAGCUUAACUUCGAGGAUUGCAUUUGGAACUAUCAAACUAGAGUACAGGAGAGGUAAGUGGAAUUCCUAGUGUAGCGGUGAAAUGCGUAGAUAUUAGGAGAACACCAGUGGCGAAGGCGACUUACUGGACUGUAACUGACGUUGAGGCUCGAAAGCGUGGGGAGC
rnacentral:rRNA from 1 species